UAAUGGAAUUCCAUAUCCAUAACUUUCAGUUAAUUUAAAAAGUGUAUAUCUGCUGAAAGUUUAUUUUGUGAACUUUUAAGAGUAUGCUUGUCUUAAAGCUAACAUACAUGGACUUAAAAGCCACAAACUCCAGUUUCGUUGUCAUAGCGUUUCAUUAAACAGUUCAGAGAGAUGAGGUCAGCAGGUUCCGCUUAAACGGCAACGUUUGCUAACCUGGGAUCAGAGUCCUGUUCAUAUCUGUAAUGAUACACCUCCAUUUGAUCCCGGCAGGCCUCCCUAAUGUUAUUGAGCCACCUCUUGAUGCCUCUUCUGUUCAAAUACAGCACCAUGAGGAACACAACUCCAAUGAGGGCCAACACAAUGCCGAGAAGCACAUAAGAACGGGCAUCCAAGUUUUGGCACUCCAUAUCCCUCUUUUCUAGAUCCUUUACGAGUGUAUUCUUCUUCUUUUCUGGUUGCGCGCAUUUCAGACUAGUUACGUCUGCGCAUUGGGAACUGUUCUUCAGCCAAUCAUAAAACUCCUUCACUUUGUCACAUUUACAGUCGAACGGGUUGUGUGAUAAGUAAAUAUGUAUUUCCUCGAAUUCGAUUAGUUUUGCUAAAUUGUGCUUAUCUAAUGUCGCAAUGGAAUUAUUUGUGAGUAUUAAAGUGGUUAAAUUGAGGUUGCCAAACCCAGAAAGAGGAAUUACCUUAAAACAAUUUCCAGACAGGUCCAGUCUCUGAAGAUUACACAAACUGUCCGUGGACAGCGCGAGUGGUAAUUGCCCCGCGCCCGAAGUCAUUAAGUUGUUACUGAGGUUAAGAUGACGUAGCCGUUCCAAGCCAUAAAAAGCUCCAGGGGACACAACCCUUAAACGGUUGUGACUCAAAUCUAAGGAAACAAGUCGUGGGAGUCCGCAAAACGCACAACUUUUGAUCACCUGUAUGUUGUUGUCCUGCAAUGACAGCGCGCGCAAGUCCAUAUCGGUCCCAUUGGCCGAAAACGCUCUCUCGGUUAAAACUGAGAUGUUAUAUCUGUAUAAAGUUAAUUUUUGGGUGCUUCUGGGCACUUCGAGAGGUAGCAUGAUCUCUUCACAGCUCACCAACCCGUCAUAACGCAUUUCGGAUUCACUUCGCCUCGGGAAUCCGUUUGAGCCAUCAAGGAAAGCAGUCCGUGUGGCCAGAGAGUGAGCGUUCAGUCCGGCUGCAUUUUCUCUUUCUGGAGCUCCCCUGACGACGCCUUCACUACAAAUGCGAUCUAGUGCUGUCUAGCAGCAUCCCUGAGUGUGGCCCCUGCAAUCCAAUCUAUAUUGUGAAUGCCAGCUGUCUACAGAAUCUAAUGUUACUCCAUCCUAUCUGUCUGUGGGGUACAGUCUGUUGGUGCUUCCUCUCGGCUGGCGGAGAAUGAGGAAAUCACACAGGGACAUCUGCGAGGACCUGUGAGACGCCAAGCUCCUGUACUCAACCAGAACGUCUGCUAUCAGGCUGUGUCUACACUGCGUGAUUACCACAACACAGAUAAGAAACCUUUCAACAUUGGAGCUUGCUUAUCACAGCUGGGAGUGACCUUGGCGGGACUGAUGUGUGGCCUGGGCAGCAUCUGCGCACAAAUUCAAUUAUUUAUGGUGUGGCUGUGUAGAACUCAAGCGUUUGCUUAGAGAAGAAUGUCCUCGUCCAUCACAUAGAGCUUCAGGGACUAUAGCUGAAAGAAAAUACAUCUGUUCAACAGGAAAGAGAUUAAGACAAGGGAUCUUAUUUACACCAGUGUUAACUGUGCACAGGAAGUAAUUAUGUUAUCAAACUAUAUUGAUCUCUUGAGGACAAAUAACUGAAACAUAUAAUGAAAUUGGCCAGAUUGCUUAAAACAAUGGAC
ensembl:lncRNA